rnacentral:rRNA from 1 species
UACGGAGGGUGCGAGCGUUGUCCGGAAUUACUGGGCGUAAAGGGCGCGUAGGCGGCCUGCUAAGUCGAACGUGAAAUCCCCGGGCUCAACCCGGGAACUGCGUCCGAUACUGGCAGGCUUGAAUCCGGGAGAGGGAUGUGGAAUUCCUGGUGUAGCGGUGAAAUGCGCAGAUAUCAGGAGGAACACCGGUGGCGAAGGCGGGUCUCUGGGCAACAACUGACGCUGAGGAGCGAAAGCGUGGGGAGCGAACAGG